rnacentral:rRNA from 1 species
GAUUUCUGGUCGGACGAGCCUGGCCCGCCUGUUUUGGGUUUCGAUCCUGGCAGGUGUGUGUCUCGUCUCUUGCUCCGACCAUCCCUUCCAGAGACUCGGCUGUGCCCUUCGGGGAUUGCAGCCGCUAUCUGGAUCUUUUACUUUGAAAAAAUUAGAGUGUUUAAAGCAGGCUUACGCUAUUGAAUACAUUAGCAUGGAAUAAUAAUUUAGGACUUUUGUCCUAUUUUGUUGGUUUCUAGGACGAAAGUAAUGAUUGAUAGGGACAGUUGGGGGUGCUAGUAUUCAGCGGCCAGAGGUGAAAUUCUUGGAUUCGCUGAAGACUAACUAAUGCGAAAGCAUU